rnacentral:rRNA from 1 species
UUUAUCGGAGAGUUUGAUCCUGGCUCAGGACGAACGCUGGCGGCGUGCCUAAUACAUGCAAGUCGAGCGGACAGAUGGGAGCUUGCUCCCUGAUGUCAGCGGCGGACGGGUGAGUAACACGUGGGUAACCUGCCUGUAAGACUGGGAUAACUCCGGGAAACCGGGGCUAAUACCGGAUGCUUAAUUGAACCGCAUGGUUCAAUUAUAAAAGGUGGCUUCGGCUAUCACUUACAGAUGGACCCGCGGCGCAUUAGCUAGUUGGUGAGGUAACGGCUCACCAAGACAACGAUGCGUAGCCGACCUG